UGAUACCAACAAGCAUCUGUUGAUAUUUCUGGAAAUUGGAAGUAAUCAUAAACCCUUACAUGGCUCAGGAGAUACCAUGGUCAUAGUGAGGGGAGGAAGACACUGUGAUCAUGGAGGGGGCAUUCCCAGGAUGAGGUUCAUCCAUUAACCUCUGAUUGUACAGAUUCGAAUUGAAGCUCACAAUCUCAGAAGGACAGGAUAUACAACUUCCUUCUCUUUAAUUUAAACUAAUGUCUAAAUUCUGAAACCCUAGUGAAGUUCCUGCCUAAAGCUCUUUCUUUGUCUCCUGAGCAGCACAGGUGCUCCCCAAAGACAGGCUAUGCUUGAG